AUUAUAUUCGCUUCGAUAAUGCAUAUUAAAACUGCAACGAUACAAAGAAGAUUAAAUAGCAUAAUCCCUGCAGAAAGAAGAAGCAAAAUCGGAAAGCUUUUAACAUUUUU